GAGUUUGAUCAUGGCUCAGAGUGAACGCUGGCGGUAGGCCUAACACAUGCAAGUCGAACGGCAGCACAGAGGAGCUUGCUCCUUGGGUGGCGAGUGGCGGACGGGUGAGGAAUACAUCGGAAUCUACUUUUUCGUGGGGGAUAACGUAGGGAAACUUACGCUAAUACCGCAUACGACCUACGGGUGAAAGCAGGGGACCUUCGGGCCUUGCGCGAUUGAAUGAGCCGAUGUCGGAUUAGCUAGUUGGCGGGGUAAAGGCCCACCAAGGCGACGAUCCGUAGCUGGUCUGAGAGGAUGAUCAGCCACACUGGAACUGAGACACGGUCCAGACUCCUACGGGAGGCAGCAGUGGGGAAUAUUGGACAAUGGGCGCAAGCCUGAUCCAGCCAUACCGCGUGGGUGAAGAAGGCCUUCGGGUUGUAAAGCCCUUUUGUUGGGAAAGAAAUCCAGCCGGCUAAUACCUGGUUGGGAUGACGGUACUCAAAGAAUAAGUCAUCCGGCAACUUC
rnacentral:rRNA from 2 species